CCUUGACCGGGCGGCCGUCCCGCGUCAGUACAAAGGCACACUUCUUUCCAGGAGGUGCCACUCGGGCAUAACGCAGCAAAAAUUCGCCACCUGGUGGUUGAGAAGUCGGCCUGCUAGAACUCAGGAAGCCAGAAGGAGCUGGUCGCUGUCCCGUGACUGUCAUUCAGCUGACCCAGCGGCGCCCCACCCGACCCCUCCUCCGGGAGGUGCCGCAGAGCCUGGGGGCGGGGCUUGGCGGUCGCACGACUCCGCCCCCCGUGCUCCGGCACCGCCCCCACGCUGGCCCGGCCCAGACCCCUCGGGCCCCGGAGUCGGAAAGGAGGCGGGCAGUGGCCGCUGCUGGGCGCCCUGGGCUCAAGGUCCUCCUGGGGAGAAAUGCUGGCCCUUGGGUCCCCGGCAAGAGUGACGGGAUGCGGCACAGCCCCUCCUGGCUGGUUGGCGGGAAGUACCAACCCCGCCCGUUUAACCCCGGCACACCACCCACCCUGGCAAUUGCGCCAGCAGCGGGGCUGCGAGGAGCUACUUCGAGAGAGUUCCGUUCCUUCUCUUUCCGGGGCCUGGCCCAUGUGCAGGAUGGAGCCCGGGCAGGAGAGGAUCCGCUCCAGUGGCACCUGCUGGGCCUCGGACACGGGAACCACCCCGCAGGCAAUACCCGUGCGUCCUGGGGAGCGGACACCGCGAGAGAGCCCAGCUCAGUCCUCCCCAGCCAUUCACGGAGGCCUGUGGCCGAUGACCCGCUCUCUAGACAGGGAGUCGGGAGCGGCUGCCCAGGGCACUCCUCCUGUGUUCUAAACCCCGGCUACCGUGGGACCUUCUGCGGGCAACCAGGCCCUGGCCCAGCUCAGUCCCAAGGGCCAGGGGCCUUGGCAGACCCUUGAAACUUGGGAAGCAGUCUUGGAUGGAGAGGCGCCCAGGUGGGGCAGGCAGCCCUGGGGGAGGGUCACACCCCUGGCCUCGAAGUCCCAUGAGCCCAGACACAGUAAAACAGAAGGUGCUUAUUUCAAAAAAAGUCUUUUAAUUGUUCAAAAUAGCACAAAACGACAUCGCACUAUGGUAAUAUUGAGUCACAGGGGUUACUCUACAAUAGAUGAACGGGUGUACUGUUCUCAGAAACAAGAGAAAUCCAAGGGCGCUCAGGAGAGGGGACAGGGAAAACGACAGGACCAGGCGAGUGGGCUCCAAGGUGACGGACUAAACGUGACAUUUUCCACAGCGAAAUCUACUAUAAUACAACGAACCAGAGGCCCCAGAAGGUGCGGGCCAGCGGCAGGGCCAUGCGCAGGCCAGGCCCCUCACCGCGGCUGCGUCUCCAGGGCGGAGAUGGGGAGGUGGGGGGUCCGGAGAGACUGGCUGCUCGCUUGAACUUGUCCCUCACAGCCUGCUCACGAGCCUGAAGCCUGGGUGCGGGGCAGAGAGCCGGACCGCCAGCCACACUGGUCAGAGCCCCGGGCCACCUGGGUUUGGCCCUGGGAGGACAGCCACGGCCCUGCAAAUGUAUACAACCGCUGGCUGGUGCUGAUAGCCCGCCUCUUCCCCGGGCUCCCUCCCGGGCCGCCUUGGAGACUGAGCUCCCCUCCGUCCCCGGACCCCACUGCUCUGGACACCACUCUGCGUGGAGACGGCCGCUGCGGGAAGCUUGGCGGCCGAGGGCGGCAGACAGCCGAGCAGGUCAUGCCAGGGAGGGGGCCCGGGGGCGGAGGGCAGGGGGGGACGGGCCAGGACCUGCUCCUCCUCCGGCAACUGUCAAGCUCAGUCCUACAAGUGUGGAGCAAUCGCCCGAGGGGAGUGAGCUUCGAGCUUCGCCAGCUCCCUCCUCCCUUGUCCCAGAGGCCUGGGGACGGGCAAAGGGGCAGACAGCAGGGGCCAGCAAGAGGAAAUUGGGCCAGGCGGCAAACAUCAUGCCUACAGGGGAGAGUCCACACCUCUCCUGCCUGGGCUGCCCCCAGCUUUUCUUCCAGAAAGAUCCCUGCCAAGGCUUAGCCAAAGAGAAAAAAGUAAAA